rnacentral:ncRNA from 1 species
CACUCUGGAAAGCGCGCUUCGGCCUCACGCCGUCGCGCCACCGAAGGGGUAAGCCGGAACUCCGGCGAAAGCUCUCAGGUUCCGUGACAGAGGGGG